rnacentral:lncRNA from 1 species
ACCAAUUCCGGACACAAUCUCAGCACUGUGGGAGACUGAGGCACCUGCCAAACCUGCACAGAUUCCUACAGCAGCCAGUUCGCUCUGUCUCGAGGCUUCAGAGGAACACGAACUUCUCUGAUGGAAGAGCCUUGUUCUAGAAGGGAGUGAAGCCUAGGUCUUUCCUGAGCACACAGAAGAUCAAGACCACACUCACUGACUUCUCAUAGUCAAGCAAUUUUGGCCAAUUAAAUGUCAGUUGGAAACUCCUGUGUCAGCUUCUCUGUGGCGGUGAGAAGUCCCUGUGUGACAUCCCAACUCUCCCCUCACCUGCGUUGGCAACCAAGAAAGCCUUGUGUUGGAGGUGGGGCCACAAGUUUAAAGCUAAGUUACCACCUCGAGGGCACAUUCCUGGAGAGCUUCCCAGGCCCACAGUGGCACGUGUAUGAGUGACAGAUCCACUUCUUUAUUACCUUUUUGAAGAACAGGAACCUUUGUCUGGAAAUUCCACAAGUAUGCCUUUUGCAAGAUUAAAAGUGCCACAAAGAACAAAAAUGAGCCCAGGACCAGAUGCAUGUUAAAAGCCAUCAGACACGUUAAGUUUCAUCUCCAUUGACCUGAGCCAGUUGGAGUGUGAGGCUUCAGAAUCGCCUUCCAACUCUCUGUGCACUGCACCAGCUGCUUCCCAUAGACUCCUGGUAAAAUAUAGAGCGGAAGGAAGAAGAGCCACUACCCAUAACAUCAGUGGCUGCUAACUAAGGAGUGUUUUGACAUGCUGGUACAGCCUAUCCUCAGCUUUCCAGAAGGUGGAAUCUUGUGAUAGUGGAAAGAAGUAGAAGAGAUGAAGUACCUAUGACUCCAGGAUUUGCCAGUGAAAGAAGUCAACAAUAUUUUAACUUUGAUCUUAACCAAAAGGCCAAGAAGUGAUGCUAAUAUUUUCAUAUACUACGACAGUUGCAGACACACGUCUAUCAUAGCUGGGUAGUAAUCCAGGCAACUCUGCCACAAGUCAUGGGCUCAGCCACCAGUCCACGAAGUCUCCAGUCACACAUAUUGCUUCGGACUAUUCUCUAUCCCCAGUUGUCAAUUAACUAAAAUAUUAAAUGAGGAUGCCAUGGAGUCCCCCAACUGAUUUCAUAAAUUUGGUGUCACAUUGUAAAUCAAGCAGCUGCAGAGUGGCUGGGACAUCUGUUUGGUUCUGUUAUUCUCUUUACUCCAAAAGGAAACUAACUCCAAAAGAAGAAAACCUGAUGUCUGAGCUGAAUCCUAAUCAUGAAGAUGUUUUUCCACCAUUCCUGUCUGUGUUUUUCUACCAUUCCUGUCUGUGUUUUUCUACCAAAGUGUGCUCUUGAAGUUCUGCAUUUCCCAGGGUGUGGUGAAAGAAGAGAAAAAAAUGUCCAAGAUGACUUCAACGUUCUGACCUUGAGUGGCUUGAGUGAAUGGAGUUACAACUGUGCAGAAAGAUUCAGUAGAGAGUUUUGGAUUUAUGCACCAGUAAGGGGAAAACUGAACAGCUGCAGAGAGCUGUAACUUUUAUAGGAGAUUAAUCUAUAAGAGAAGACAGCAAACUACAGCCUGUGUGUCAAAUCCUACUUGCCACGUCCACUGAAAGCUAACUACACUGGAACACUCUCAUUUCUGCAAAGAAAAAUAUCAUAUCCCAGGAUGAAAAGGAGGAGGAAGAGGAAAGGCUAACUUAACAAGAAGCUCUUUGACAUUCUUGAAUUAGACACCCAACGUAGUCCACGCAGUACGGAGGAUGACUUCAGAAGUGCAAUUCUGAUAUGGACUUUGUCUCCCUAAGGCUUUCAGUUCCUCAUAUUUAGGAUAAAACAGAAGUUUAUGUAAAGCCAAGGGAGAGGGUCACCGGGAGAGGGAAGGAGGAACAGCAGAAGGAGAGGUCCACACAUGAAAAUACUUGGAAGCGCCCCAGGGCCUAUCAGAUGCAGGUCUUGGCGGAAAUUACCAAACAUACUUUAGACAGGCUGCUGUGUUGCUGAGUGUGGACUGGCCUCAGGGCCUGCUGAUCAAAGCAAAAGGAAGCAGUGAAAAAAACAUCACCAUGUCUUCUUAGAGUCUAAUCUGGGGGCAAGAGGCCAGCAUGCACAGUUGGUGCUGAUUUUCUUGGGCGGAUAGAGGAAAGGUGUAGGCGUGGCCAACAUUUGAGCAGCAUGUGGUUCCUCUCACACGCCAUGCUGUUUCCGGCCUCCUUGCAUUUUACUCAUGCCAUCCUCCUGGUCACUUCUUUGAGAUAUUAAGUGCAUUCUUUAGGACUCAGACUCAGCUCAAGGGUCAGUGCAUCCAUGAAGCCUUACCUGGAUCCCAGAGGGAGCUCUGUGCUCCUCCUUUGUCUCCUAUAGGACCCAGUACAUGCGUCCAGUAUUAUCCAUACACACUGAAAUGAUCUAGCAUGUGUCUUCCCAUAGGAUUUCAAAUUCUUAGAAUAUAGGAGUGAUGCCUUCUUCCUACUUAUAUUUCCAGUGUUAACAGUGCCUGUCAAUUGACUUGAAGAUAACUAAAAGUCUGGUUGUUAAGGGCUGCUUCCCACCUCCAAAUACUUCCCUGGAAGUCAUUGUAUGGGCACUGACAUUGGUAGGUCUCCACUGGCUUGUAGAUGCUUCUGAUUAUAAGGUAGUCUCAGAUGCCUUCAGAAAGUUCUAAGACUGUAUAAAACAUUUCCUUCACAACCAAUAACUGUGUAUUAUUGUUCGUGUAAUUCCAGAAGUUAUCCUUUUGAUAGAGAGCAAUUACUUUAUUGAUUGAGAGUUAGCUAAUUAUGUAAUAAAGGUAAAGAUUUGCAUAGAGAA